rnacentral:rRNA from 1 species
AUACGGAGGAUCCAAGCGUUAUCCGGAUUUAUUGGGUUUAAAGGGUGCGUAGGCGGACUGGUAAGUCAGCUGUGAAAGUUUGCGGCUUAACCGUAAAAUUGCAGUUGAUACUGUCAGUCUCGAGUGUGCAUGAGGUGGGCGGAAUUUGUGGUGUAGCGGUGAAAUGCUUAGAUAUCACGAGGAACUCCAAUUGCGAAGGCAGCUCACUGGGGCAUAACUGACGCUGAUGCACGAAGGUGUGGGUAUCAAACAGGAUUAGAUACCCUGGUAGUCCACACAGUAAACUAUGAAUACUCGCUGUUUGCGAUAUACAGUAAGCGGCCAAGCGAAAGCGUUAAGUAUUCCACCUGGGGAGUACGCCGGCAACGGUGAAACUUAAAGGAAUUGGCGGGG